CGAGUAGCGGCGAGCGAAACGGGAAGAGCCCAGCGCUGAAUCCUGCCGCCCGGGCGGGCGGCCGGGAAAUGUAGCGUUCGGUAGGAGAGUUAAAAUUAAAUCGCGCGGUCAUUAGUCACGGCUGCCAGUCCAAGUUCAUCUUGAACGGGGCCGCUUACCCGCAGAGGGUGCCAGGCCCGUGGUGACGGUAGCCGGCCGCGACGGUCUCCCUACCCAGAGUCGGGUUGCUUGAGAGUGCAGCCCUAAGCGGGUGGUAAACUCCAUCUAAGGCUAAAUACUACCACGGGACCGAUGACGAACAAGUACCGUGAGGGAAAGUUGAAAAGAACUUUGAAGAGAGAGUUAAAGAGUACGUGAAACCGUUCAGGGGUAAACCUGCGGAACUCAAACGAGCGAACGGGGAGAUCAUCGCUCUUCCGGCGGUGGCCCGCGUCACGCCUCGCACCCGGGCGUCGCGAGACGCCGGGUGGGGCGAGAUCGCGUCUCAGGCCCCCCGGAGCGCGUGCACUUCUCCCCCANNNNNNNNNNNNNNNNNNNNNNNNNNNNNNNNNNNNNNNNNNNNNNNNNNNNNNNNNNNNNNNNNNNNNNNNNNNNNNNNNNNNNNNNNNNNNNNNNNNNGCGCGAGUCAUUGGGACACAGAUAAACCCAGAGGCGCAAUGAAAGUGAAAGGGGGGGCCUCCCCCCCCCACCAGGGAAGAUGCGCGGGCGGCUCCGUACGCCCCGCCGCAUUCCCGAGGCGUUUCGAGAAAGCCACCGUGCGAUUAUCGAGACGCACCGAGAGCGUACACGCUGGGACCCGAAAGAUGGUGAACUAUGCCUGGUCAGGUCGAAGUCAGGGGAAACCCUGAUGGAGGACCGAAGCGAUUCUGACGUGCAAAUCGAUCGUCGGAACUGGGUAUAGGGGCGAAAGACUAAUCGAACUAUCUAAUAGCUGGUUCCAUCCGAAGUGUCGCGUUUGCUCGCGCGCAUUCGAACAGUCUCAUCCGGUAAAGCGAAUGAUUAGAGGCAUUGGGGCCGAAAUGGCCUCAACCUAUUCUCAAACUUUAAAUGGGUGAGAUCUCCGUCUUGCUCGAAGAUGAAGUCGGAGCUCGGAUGGGAGUGCCAAGUGGGCCAAUUUUGGUAAGCAGAACUGGCGCUGUGGGAUGAACCAAACGUCGAGUUAAGGCGCCCAAUGAACGCUCAUCGGAGACCAUAAAAGGCGUUGGUCGCUCAGGACAGCAGGACGGUGGCCAUGGAAGUCGGAAUCCGCUAAGGAGUGUGUAACAACUCACCUGCCGAAGCGACCAGCCCUGAAAAUGGAUGGCGCUGUAGCGUUCAGCCUAUACUCGACCGUCGCAGGCAAGGGGGGCGCCCCCCUUCAGCGGGGGGCSCCUUGAGGCCGCGACGAGUAGGAUGGCCGCGGCGGUGUGCGCAGAAGGGUCUGGGCGCGAGCCCGCCUGGAGCCUCCGUCGGCGCAGAUCUUGGUGGUAGUAGCAAAUACUCAAGCGAGGUCCUUGAGGGYUGAUGUGGAGAAGGGUUUCGCGUUAACAGCCGUUSCMCGSGAGUUAGUCGAUCCUAAGCCCUAGGAGAGAUCCGAUGUUGAKGAKGGUGYCAAGUUAUMCAUGUAUAUACACAUAUAUAGUGGUAGUACACCCGUCGGGCGAAAGGGAAUCCGGUUGCAGUUCCGGAACCCGGCUGCGGAACCGUCUUAAAAAUCGUUCCCUCUUUACGAGAGUUCGUCGGGGUAACCCAAAGUGGCCUGAAGACGCCGACGGGAGAUCCGGAGGGGGRCUAGGGCUCGGGACGCGAAGAGCAUCGCCGAUGCGGCGGUGUCCGGAUCGGCCCCUCGGACCUUGAAAAUUCAGGUGAGGGAUACGCGGAGAUGUCGCGCCGGCUCGUACCCAUAUCCGCAGCAGGUCUCCAAGGUGAAGAGCCUCUAGCCGAUAGAAUAAUGUAGGUAAGGGAAGUCGGCAAGUUGGAUCCGUAACUUCGGGAUAAGGAUUGGCUCUGAGGGCCGUGGCGUGUCGGGCCUGGUCGGGAAGAGGGAAUCGGCCGAGACGUGGAGGCCGGGCGGGGUCCCCCGGGCGGCGGUGUAAAAGCCGUCCGUCCGGUGCGGAUCUCCGUUACCCGGCGCCUCGCCUUGGCUACCCCUCGGAUCUUCCUCGCUGCGUGGUGCAGGCGCGUUCGCGCGCGUCCUGUCACCUGUACGGCCGCCGGACGACGGUCAACUCAGAACUGGCACGGACAAGGGGAAUCCGACUGUCUAAUUAAAACAAAGCAUUGCGAUGGCCCUCGCGGGUGUUGACGCAAUGUGAUUUCUGCCCAGUGCUCUGAAUGUCAAUGUGAAGAAAUUCAAUUAAGCGCGGGUAAACGGCGGGAGUAACUAUGACUCUCUUAAGGUAGCCAAAUGCCUCGUCAUCUAAUUAGUGACGCGCAUGAAUGGAUUAACGAGAUUCCCUCUGUCCCUAUCUACUAUCUAGCGAAACCACUGCCAAGGGAACGGGCUUGGGAGAAUCAGCGGGGAAAGAAGACCCUGUUGAGUUUGACUCUAGUCUGGUAUUGUAAGGUGACAUGAGGGGUGCAGAAUAAGUGGGAGGCGGGCGCAAGUUCGCCAAACGUGAAAUACCACUACUUUCAUCGUUUCGUUACUUACUCAGUUGGGCGGAGGGCGUGCGCCGGCGUUAAUGCCGCGCGUCACGGGUUUUUCGCGCCAAACGUGUACGGGGCGGCGAUCGGGGGCCGUCUCGGCCGCGGUGUGCGUGCGCGAGUGCGUCGCCGCGCGCCGGGCGGUCGCUACGCCGCAUCUCCCCGCGUGAUCCGUUCUGAGGACACUGCUAGGCGGGGAGUUUGACUGGGGCGGUACAUCUGUCAAAGAAUAACGCAGGUGUCYUAAGACCAGCUCAGCGAGGCCGGAAAUCUCGC
rnacentral:rRNA from 1 species